UAAACACCGUUCAGGCCAGACCU
rnacentral:siRNA from 1 species